rnacentral:rRNA from 1 species
UCUAGUCCGACUUUGUGAAGUGACUUAGGAGGUGUAGCAUAAGUGGGAG